rnacentral:rRNA from 1 species
UACGGAGGGGGCUAGCGUUGUUCGGAAUUACUGGGCGUAAAGCGCGCGUAGGCGGACCAUCAAGUUGGGGGUGAAAUCCCGGGGCUCAACCUUGGAACUGCCUCCGAAACUGCUGGUCUUGAGUUCGAGAGAGGUGAGUGGAAUUCCGAGUGUAGAGGUGAAAUUCGUAGAUAUUCGGAGGAACAUCAGUGGCGAAGGCGACUCACUGGGCCAUUACUGACACUGAGGUGCGAAAGCGUGGGUAGCAAACAGG